rnacentral:rRNA from 1 species
AGUGGAACGAGCGGCGGACGGGUGAGUAACACGUGGGCAACCUACCUAUAAGACUGGGAUAACUCGCGGAAACGUGAGCUAAUACCGGAUAAUACUUUUUAUUGCAUAAUAAGAAGUUUGAAAGGCGGCGUAAGCUGUCACUUAUAGAUGGGCCCGCGGCGCAUUAGCUAGUUGGUGAGGUAAAGGCUCACCAAGGCAACGAUGCGUAGCCGACCUGAGAGGGUGAUCGGCCACACUGGGACUGAGACACGGCCCAGACUCCUACGGGAGGCAGCAGUAGGGAAUCUUCCGCAAUGGACGAAAGUCUGACGGAGCAACGCCGCGUGAGUGAAGAAGGUUUUCGGAUCGUAAAACUCUGUUGUUAGGGAAGAACAAGUCAGGUAGUAACUGACCUGACCUUGACGGUACCUAACCAGAAAGCCACGGCUAACUACGUGCCAGCAGCCGCGGUAAUACGUAGGUGGCAAGCGUUGUCCGGAUUUAUUGGGCGUAAAGCGCUCGCAGGCGGUCUUUUAAGUCUGAUGUGAAAGCCCACGGCUUAACCGUGGAGGGUCAUUGGAAACUGGAGGACUUGAGUGCAGAAGAGGAGAGUGGAAUUCCAUGUGUAGCGGUGAAAUGCGUAGAGAUAUGGAGGAACACCAGUGGCGAAGGCGACUCUCUGGUCUGUAACUGACGCUGAGGAGCGAAAGCGUGGGUAGCGAACAGGAUUAGAUACCCUGGUAGUCCACGCCGUAAACGAUGAGUGCUAGGUGUUAGGGGGUUUCCGCCCCUUAGUGCUGAAGUUAACGCAUUAAGCACUCCGCCUGGGGAGUACGGCCGCAAGGCUGAAACUCAAAA